GACAAAUACAGAAGUAAUCUUCAAAGAACUAUUUGUACUAUUUGGAAUUUCUUAAGUAUUUAAGCCUUAGCUUGAAGAACCACCUGGAAAGAAUAUAUAGCUUGCAUCCUGGACAUUAAGCUCAGGCUAUAAAUAUUCCUAAUAGGUUUUUCAACAUUUCCCUUUAUCCCCCAGAGAAGAAGAAAAGAAACCUGUCAUUCUUAGCUAUCAGGUAUCUUUUUUAUUUUAAAAAAUGGUGCUGCUUGCCACAGCCUUUUGUAAGUUCCUUUAUUUAUGCCUUCCUGUGUGUUUGAUUUCUUCUUCUAAGAAUUUUAAUUGCACGGGGAUCAUAGUUAACUAGUCUUUUUGCUUAUUACAUCAAGAUAGAAUAGAAAUAGGGAAAUUACAGCUACGUUGGGAACGAGGGUAGGAGGAGACCAGCAGCACUUCCUAUUAGCCAAGAAGCCACUGCAUUAGGGUUGCUUCCAUGGCAGCAGCAGAAGCAGGCAAUACAUUUGUUGGAGGCUGAAUCUGCUGCCCCAUGGAUCCUGCUGCCUGAGGCAAUCACCUCACCUUGCCUCAUGAGUGGACUGGCCCUGGGUAUCUUGCUUAUUCCACUACUGUCUUUAAAGCACAAAUCAAAGUGUUGGUGCUGACCUUUAAAGCCCUAAACGGCCUUGGUCCUGUAUACCUGAAGGAGCAUCUCCACCCCCAUCGUUCAGCCCGGACACUGAGGUCCAGUGCUGAGGGUAUUCUGGCGGUUCCCUCAUUGUGAGAAGUGAGGUUACAGGGGACCAGAAAGAUGGCCUUCUUGGUAGUGGUGUCCGCCCUGUCGAACCCCCUCCCAUCAGAUGUUAAGGAAAUAAGCAGCUAUCCUAUUUUUAAAAGACAUCUGAAGGCAGCCCUGUUUAGGGAAGUUUUUAAUAUUUAAUGCUGUAUUGUUUUUAACACUUGAUUGGGAGCUGCCCAGAGUGGCUGGGGAAACGCAGCCAGAUGGGUGGGGUAUAAAUAAUAAAUUAUUAUAUUAUUAUUAUUAUAUAAACUGUUUUUUUUUUUUACGUGAGCCAAUUUGAUCCCAAAUAGAUCUGUGGAAAAUAGCGUAUUUAGAAGGAGAACUACUUGAAAAUGAUUUACAGAUGGUAUUUCACUCCGAGUAGGCUUGCUAAGAUGUAGAAGACUGAAUCAGAUAAGUGCUGGAGAUGCAAAGAGGUGGAGGGAACGUUCUUCCAUAUGUGGUGGACUUGUGAAAGGGUAAAAGAGUAUUGGGAAAUGAUCCAUAAUGAAUUGGGGGAAAAUGCUUAAAAGUACUUUUCCAAAAAACAACAACAUCAGAGUCUUUUCUGUUGGGGAUAAUUCGGACUGAAAUUACCAGGUGUCAAAAAGGUUAUUUAUGUAUGUUACUACUGCGGUCCAUGUUUUGUUAAUGUUUUGUUGAAUGGAAAGCGAGCGAGGUCCCAACCAAAGAAGAAUGGCAACUUAAGUUGACAGAACAUGAGCAGCUUGCAGACUUAACCUAUAGAAUAAGAGAACAAGAGGAACAUACUUUUAGAGAAGAUUGGAAAACCUUUAUUGAAUAUGUGGGAAAUAAUUUUGUACAGCCGAAAACCCUGGCAGCAUUAAGAAAAAUUCAACAGUGUAAAUAAGCUUUGAUGGAUGCAAUAAUGGAAUACUGAAUGGUAUAGGUUUUGAAAAGUAUGCAGGGAUUUAUGAUAUGUAAAAUGAACCAUGGAAAGAGAAGAAGGGAAGUCACUGCUUUUUAAGGAUGUAAAAUG